GAUGAACGCUGGCGGCGUGCUUAACACAUGCAAGUCGAACGAAGCACUUUAUUUGAUUUCCUUCGGGACUGAUUAUUUUGUGACUGAGUGGCGGACGGGUGAGUAACGCGUGGGUAACCUGCCUUGUACAGGGGGAUAACAGUUGGAAACGGCUGCUAAUACCGCGUAAGCGCACGGCAUCGCAUGAUGCAGUGUGAAAAACUCCGGUGGUAUAAGAUGGACCCGCGUUGGAUUAGCUGGUUGGUGAGGUAACGGCCCACCAAGGCGACGAUCCAUAGCCGACCUGAGAGGGUGACCGGCCACAUUGGGACUGAGACACGGCCCAAACUCCUACGGGAGGCAGCAGUGGGGAAUAUUGCACAAUGGGCGAAAGCCUGAUGCAGCGACGCCGCGUGAGCGAAGAAGUAUUUCGGUAUGUAAAGCUCUAUCAGCAGGGAAGAUAAUGACGGU
rnacentral:rRNA from 1 species